CAUGGUUGUCGUCAGCCCGUGUCGUGAGAUGUUGGGUUAAGUCCGCGACGAGCGCAACCCUCGACCUUAGUUGCCAGCAUUCAGUUGGGCACGUCUAAGGUGACUGCCGGCUAAAAGUCGGAGGAAGGUGGGGAGUGACGUCAAAUCAUCAUGCCCCUUAUGACCUGGGCUACACACGUGCUACAAUGGGCGGGUACAAAGGGUCGCGAACCCGCGAGGGGGAGCCAAUCCCAAAAAGCCGCUCUCAGUUCGGAUUGCAGGCUGCAACUCGCCUGCAUGAAGCCGGAAUCGCUAGUAAUCGCGGAUCAGCAUGCCGCGGUGAAUACGUUCCCGGGCCUU
rnacentral:rRNA from 1 species